AAAGAAAAAAUAUUCAAGUCCUUGAAUAAUGUACUCAUGAGAAAACCUGUUGAAGAAUUAGUUAAAAAUGAAUAGUGUGAAAAUAUUAUGCGACCAUACUCAUAACCCAUUUUUUCGACAAACUCAGUUACAGAACCAUUGGUAAGUUUCGCUCUGUUUACUGGUCUGAUACCACAUUUAUCUUCACGUUUCGGUUCUGAGUUCCCUUCUAAGUACAUUGACCUGACUAAUUAGUAUGCCUAAGGAGACGUAUAUUUAUAUGCAAAUUUACAAACCAUUGAGUAUUUUUAGACCAUUCAGUAUCAGUCUCAUCAUGAGACUCAAUAUUGCUGCACAAUCUCAACCAAGAAUCGGGCUGUCUAGGCAAGUUAGGAGGAACAUCUUCAAUUCAAAGUUAGUUUCAUUUUACAUCCUUGAAAUAACUGAUUUAAAAUCUAAAUAAGGACUGUGAUGCAGCCUACAUAUGCAUUUUUCACGACAUACCUUUAGGACGGUAAACUACCCAAAACUCCAAUAUUGUUUUCGGACCAUCCAACGUUUUUGAUAAAGAAUUUACAACUGCUUCAAAACGCCUCGAGGGGACUACUCCUAAAAGAUACAGUUCUUGCAUAGCAUCGCACCUCACCGAAAUUGAUUUCUUUUAUCUCUUAAGCGUCUACUAAAGCUAAGCUACUGAUGGUUGUAGAAAUAGUGAACAAAAUAUACAAUGCAAUGUCAGUAGUAAGGGAAAAUUGCUGUUGGAAGCCUAAUGAGCAGUGUUUUCAACGCGGUGUAGUUAGCUAUGUAACGAACGACCUUAACGAUGAAAGAAUGAGAAUCAUUAUGAAUCGCCAUUAUGGAACAUAGUAUUGAUCCAAUAUUUCUUUCACAUUUUCUUCGAAUUGAUACUAUUAUUGCUUUAUUUCCUUUAAUAAUAUUGAGCGCCGUGUUACUUGAUUCUUGAUUAAAUAAUCAAACUAUAAUAGUAAAACAAUUCGGUCAACUAAUAUUUAUACCAACAUAUUUGAUUUUUGGGACGUUGUGGUAAACGCCGCAUAAAAUAAACUUUAUAUUAGAAAGACGAUAUAACUUAAGUUGCUAUCGAGGUCCAACAAAGCUGAACACUUCAAUAACGAAUCAUUAUGAACAUGAUA